UCCCGCUGGGGAGUUCGUCGCAAGACUGAAACUCAAAGAAUUGACGGGCCCGCACAAGCGGUGGAGUACGUGGUUUAAUUCGAUGCAACGCGAAGAACCUUACCUGGCCUUCACAUGUCGAGAACUUUCCAGAGAUGGAUGGGUGCCUUCGGGAACUCGAACACAGGUGCUGCAUAGCUGUCGUCAGCUCGUGUCGUGAGAUGUUGGGUUAAGUCCCGCAACGAGCGUAACCCUUGACCUUAGUUGCCAGCACGUAAUGGUGGGAACUCUAAGGAGACCGCCGGUGACAAACCGGAGGAAGGUGGGGAUGACGUCGAGUCAUCAUGGCCCUUGCGGCCAGGGCUACACACGUACUACAAUGGUAGGGACAUAGGGCUGCAAGCCGGCGACGGUAAGCCAAUCCCAGAAACCCUAUCUCAGUCCGGAUUGGAGUCUGCAACUCGACUCCAUGAAGUCGGAAUCGCUAGUAAUCGCAGAUCAGCAUUGCUGCGGUGAUUACGUUCCCGGGCCUUGUACACACCGCCCGUCACACCAUGGGAGUUUGUUGCACCAGAAGCCGGUAGCUUAACCUUCGGGAGGGCGCUUGCCACGGUGUGCCCGAUGACUGGGGUGAAGUCGUAACA
rnacentral:rRNA from 1 species